UAAACAAAGGGUUCCUACAACUUUAGUAGGC
rnacentral:sRNA from 1 species